UACAGAGGUCCCAAGCGUUGUUCGGAUUCACUGGGCGUAAAGGGUGCGUAGGUGGCGAGGUAAGUCGGAUGUGAAAGCUCGGAGCUCAACUCCGAAAUGGCAUUGGAAACUACCUUGCUCGAGGGUUGGAGGGGGGACUGGAAUUCUCGGUGUAGCAGUGAAAUGCGUAGAUAUCGGGAGGAACACCAGUGGCGAAGGCGGCGAUCUGGGCAGAUACUGACGCUGAGGUGCGAAAGCGUGGGGAGCAAACAGG
rnacentral:rRNA from 1 species